GCCAGCGAGAGAGAUAGAGAGAUUGAGUGUCCCCCUAUCCAACAGAGAGAGGAUGAUUGAAGUUUGCAGAGAAUUUCCUUAACGUUGGCCUGACAAAUUUAUACACUGGGAACCAUCUCCAUUGUUUUUGAAGAUCGAAAACCGUCUGAUAUUCUCAUCAUAUGGGGAUUAGCUUAGCUGGGACUAGAGCAAAGGCAGGAGUUAA
rnacentral:misc_RNA from 1 species